GUGUUUGAGAGUAUGUAUGAGUGUGUUUGAGAGUGUGUAUGAGUGUGUGUGAAAGCAUGUAUGAGUUUGUAUGAGAGUGUGUAUGAGACCGUGUGUUAGAGCAUGUGCUAGAGUGUGUAUGAGUGUGCUAGAGUGUGUAUGAGUGUGUGCGAGAGUGUGUAUGAGUGUGCGAGUGUGUGUGCGAGUGUGUGUGCGACCGUGUGUAUGAGCGUGUGUUAGAGCGUGUGUGAGAGCGUGUAUGAGAGUGUGUGUGUGAGAGUGUGUAUGAGUGUGUAUGAGAGUGUGUGUGUGAGAGUGUGUAUGAGACUGUGUGUGAGAGUGUGUAUGAGUGUGUGUGAGAGUGUGUAUGAGAGCGUGUGUGAGAGUGUGUACGAGUGUGUAUGAGAGUGUGUAUGAGACCGUGUGUUAGAGCGUGUGUGAGAGUGUGUAUGAGUGUGUGUGAGAAUGUGUAUGAGACCGUGUGUUAGAGCGUGUGUGAGAGUGUGUAUGAGUGUGUGUGAGAGUGUGUAUGAGACCGUGUGUUAGUGUGUGUGAGAGUGUGUAUGAGACCGUGUGUGAGAGUGUGUAUGAGUGUGUGUGAGAGUGUGUAUGAGAGCGUGUGUGAGAGUGUGUAUGAGAGUGUGUAUGAGACCGUGUGUGAGAAGUGUGUAUGAGUGUGUAUGAGAGUGUGUAUGAGACCGUGUGUUAGAGCGUGUGUGAGAGUGUGUAUGAGUGUGUGUGAGAGUGUGUAUGAGACCGUGUGUUAGAGUGUGUGUGAGAGUGUGUAUGAGUGUGUGUGAGAGUGUGUAUGAGAGCGUGUGUGAGAGUGUGUAUGAGAGUGUGUAUGAGACCGUGUGUUAGAGCGUGUGUGAGAGUGUGUAUGAGUGUGUGUGAGAGUGUGUAUGAGACCGUGUGUUAGAGUGUGUGUGAGAGUGUGUAUGAGUGUGUGUGAGAGUGUGUAUGAGGACCGUGUGUUAGUGUGUGUGAGAGUCAUGCACAUCUCCCCCAUCACUCUGCUGUAUCCAAACAAGGCAUGGUUUGUGGCGUGUGGACUCUUCCACCAUCCACCUGUGUGGACUUUGCUCCUAAUCCUCUCUGAUCCUCUCUCUGCGUUGAAUACUUGGACUACUGAGUGUAACUAAUUCUCCCACACGAGGACAUUGUCUCGGCCACUUUCGCCUUUGUCUUCCUCCUCACGGCGUCUUAUUCAGGAGCCGCGUUCGUUAGCCGAACAGUCGGGCCAGGAG
ensembl:lncRNA